rnacentral:rRNA from 1 species
UACGUAGGGAGCAAGCGUUGUCCGGAAUCAUUGGGCGUAAAGAGCGCGUAGGCGGCCCUGUAAGUCCGUUCUGAAAGUCGGAGGCUCAACCUCCGAAAGCGGAUGGAUACUGCAGGGCUAGAGUCCGGAAGAGGCGAGUGGAAUUCCUGGUGUAGCGGUGGAAUGCGCAGAUAUCAGGAGGAACACCAACGGCGAAGGCAGCUCGCUGGGACGGUACUGACGCUGAGGCGCGAAAGCGUGGGGGAGCGAACAGG